rnacentral:rRNA from 1 species
CAGCAGCCGCGGGAAUACGAAGGGUGCAAGCGUUAAUCGGAAUUACUGGGCGUAAAGCGUGCGUAGGCGGUUUGUUAAGUCUGUUGUGAAAUCCCCGGGCUCAACCUGGGAAUGGCAAUGGAUACUGGCAAGCUAGAGUGUGUCAGAGGAUGGUGGAAUUCCCGGUGUAGCGGUGAAAUGCGUAGAGAUCGGGAGGAACAUCAGUGGCGAAGGCGGCCAUCUGGGCCAACACUGACACUGAGGCACGAAAGCGUGGGGAGCAAACAGGAUUAGAUACCCCCGUAGUCCCUGUCUCUUAUAC